rfam:Veillonella sp. oral taxon 780 str. F0422 ctg1127947897846, whole genome shotgun sequence.
UACAUAACGGGUCUGUGGUUGAAAGUCGAGGCCAGUCGCAGGCGAAACGAUCCACAUAAGCAAUGAGAAAUUGUGAGCAUGGUGCGGCUUAGAUGUAAGACCUGCCGACAAAAUAUGUCGAGAGGGGUAGUAGUGGGGAGCAUGGCUUAAGAGCGAACCUUCCAGCAGGCGAGUGUGGGGGCAAAGACCAGGUCAGCCGUAUGAA